rnacentral:rRNA from 1 species
CAAUAUGAAGGCGGGCUGGAUCCCUCCUGCUGGGCACUGCUUCACGGCGUGCGCAGUAGGGGCCGGCCCUGCUGAACUAUUCACCCGUGUCUUUUGCGUACCUCUUGUUUCCUGGGCGGGCUCGCCCGCCACCAGGACCAACCAUAAACCUUUUUGUAAUAGCAAUCCGCGUCAGUAACAACGUAAUUAAUUACAACUUUCAACAACGGAUCUCUUGGUUCUGGCAUCGAUGAAGAACGCAGCGAAAUGCGAUACGUAGUGUGAAUUGCAGAAUUCAGUGAAUCAUCGAAUCUUUGAACGCACAUUGCGCCCUUUGGUAUUCCAAAGGGCAUGCCUGUUCGAGCGUCAUUUGUACCCUCAAGCUUUGCUUGGUGUUGGGCGUCUUUGUCUCCAGCUUGCUGGAGACUCGCCUUAAAGUCAUUGGCAGCCGGCCUACUGGUUUCGGAGCGCAGCACAAGUCGCGCUCUUCAUCCAGCCAAGGUCAGCGUCCAGCAAGCCUUUUUUCAACCUUUGACCUCGGAUCAGGUAGGGAUACCCGC